UACAAUUAGGUAUGAUUACAACUAGGAAGCUACCCUUCCUGGAUAACUAUUUUAGUACCUGUUUUUAUUUACUAAUGAGAACUAAAUAAAUUGGCUACUGUCAUGUUUAUCCCUUAAAAAAAGAUUCUGGUAGAUGUGCUUGACAAUAAUAAUGGUAAUACCUAAAGGAGUUCUCUUGCUCCAAGUUAGCGCCUAUAUAUUCUUAGCUACCAUGUACUUGGGUUACUGGUUUGUGUUAAGGAUUCCGCUACUGUUGCCAAGGUAUCUACAGAAUUUUGUUAUAGUACUAGCUGAACAGAAAAAGAAAUCGGCUAUUAAUUUACUAGACUCUAUUUCAGUCUAAUUAGUGGAGACUUAGAGAGUGGAAGGAAUGUUUUAAAAACCUAAUAUAAAAAUAUGAAAUAUUUAGUUAUUCUCUAUAUCCGAGAAAGCAAUAAAGAACUUUGUGUUAGGCAGUGCACUGCGGGAGCGUGUACUGCGACUAUUUCUGCACUGCCGAGGAAGGCUUGAUCUUUCCCACAGGUCCACCUUCUUUACCUUUCCGUUCUUUGAACUGGAUAAGUUCUGAUAUUCUAACAUUGAUGGAAAAUCAUUAUCUUCUGUAAAGCCACAUUUCAUUUUAUGAUUUUUAGCAGAAGCUCGCUUCGAGGUCUUGGUGUGGGGCUGCUGGGGAAGGGAAUGUCCUUCUACUUAGUGAAAGUCGUUGUUGCUGAGGCUGAUUUUACCUUCUUUCUAAGUGUUCUAUUUUAUUAGUGCAAUUGGUUCGAGUUAAACUAACAUCCAUCGUACAAAUAUUUGUGGGACAUAUUCAGGUAAAUUUACCAUGUUCUGUUUUCAUUACCCAGCGCUAAAAUGUAGAUGUUAUGAUGACCAAUGACCAUAAACUAUACAGGAUUGGGCAAAGAAUCACUCUGGUGACCUAGAGAUAGAUGAAGCUUUAAAGAAGGGAGAAGAUGCUGGGCUUGCCUUGGUUAGCAGCAAUUAUCAUUUCAUUUUUGUGUUUAUCAGCAUAAGCUAAUAUCUGGAAGUAGGGCUUCUUUACUCUGUACUCCUGCAAUUUUUAAUGUUCCUGGUGUCACUUUCCCCAGUACUCUUCUAUAGCUGUGUUUUGUGCUAAAAAGUGAAAAAUUCAAACGUUUUGCAGUCACUACCAGCAAGUAAUAGCACUGACUAUUAUUUUAAAUAAAAUAUGGAAUCGAGCUUUCAGCUGCAUCUUUUAGCAUCCUAGCGCACUCAUCAACUUCAGAGUUACCACUGGGGUCACUUUUCUCAAGAAAUCUGGAAAGAAGCGAGGAUUCUCAAGUAAGAUAAGUCUGCUUACAAAAAUUUGCCUACUGGAAAGUAGAUAAGAGACUCAUGAAGUAAGAAUACAUGCCUACAUAUUAUACAUAGCAGGCUUCUGACUUCUCUGAUUCUGCAAGCCUUGAGGCUGUGAAACAUCUAUGCUAGGUCGCCACACUUCUGCCACCUUCAUUUGAUGAG
rnacentral:lncRNA from 1 species